AUUGAACGCUGGCGGCAUGCUUUACACAUGCAAGUCGAACGGCAGCGCGGGCUUCGGCCUGGCGGCGAGUGGCGAACGGGUGAGUAAUACAUCGGAACGUGCCCAGUUGUGGGGGAUAGCUCGGCGAAAGCCGGAUUAAUACCGCAUACGACCUGAGGGUGAAAGCGGGGGAUCUUCGGACCUCGCGCUAUUGGAGCGGCCGAUGGCAGAUUAGCUAGUUGGUGGGGUAAAGGCCUACCAAGGCGACGAUCUGUAGCUGGUCUGAGAGGACGACCAGCCACACUGGGACUGAGACACGGCCCAGACUCCUACGGGAGGCAGCAGUGGGGAAUUUUGGACAAUGGGCGAAAGCCUGAUCCAGCAAUGCCGCGUGUGUGAUGAAGGCCUUCGGGUUGUAAAGCACUUUUGGCGGGAACGAAAAGGACUGUGCCAAUACCACGGUUUGAUGACGGUACCCGCAGAAUAAGCACCGGCUAACUACGUG
rnacentral:rRNA from 1 species